AUCUGUGCCAACAUUUUGCCCCGAAAUGCGGUUGACAUUGUGCAGGCGGGUAGGGGAGCGUGGGGCCGCGGUAAACAAAUUGAAUAGCUUCGGCGGGGACAGAGAUGUAGUAUAAAACGUUAAUGGAUGUCCAGGGCGCACCGUUUCGCCGGCUGCUGGUCAGAGGUGCUAGGGAGUUGCUGACAGGAUCCCGGGAGAGGAUGCACCUUCCCCUGCCUUGGAAAGGUUUCACCAACCUUUUCUGCAUCUGCUAACACAGGAGCCAUUGGUACCAAGUGAUGGUCACUUUAUGGCCGGCAAAGGACCUUAAAUCAUCUAGCCCAAGCCCCUCUUUUGAGACAACUGAAGCCCUGAGAGGUUGUCAGCAGCCUAAAGUUACUCACCUCGUGGCUGGCUGAGGCAGGACUGAAACCCAGAGGCCCUGGAUUCUGGAGGAGACACUUCCUUUAGGACACCCACGCUGAACUUGCACAGAUGUCCGUUGUGCACAGAUGGAAGGCUGAAUGCUUUGUGUGCUCGGCUCACUCUAGAGGGCUUGUUGAAUUAAGCAGAGUGCCUGGCACGGACGAGGAUGAAAAUGCUGAGAGAAGACCAAAUUGCUCUCCCCACCGCAGGCUGAGGGUGAACCUUGAAAGAAAAGUUCACGAGAAGGUUGAAGGGGCAGAAGAGGUGGGGCAAAAGUGGAUGGACUAAGUUUGCAUUGAUGUGGCUCAAGAAUCCCUCCCUCUACUUGUCCUCAAGUUGCUAGACGCCGGUUAUUUAAAUAUGAUGGAGAAAUCCUCCCCAGGUAAUGGUUUUCUUAGGCCUAAGGAAUUCCAUUAGAAAGGGGUGGUGGAAAAAGCCCCUGCAGCACAAGAAGAAAAAUGCUUUCUGGUUAUUGUGGGAGCUCUGUUACUGGAUGGAAUUCACCUUCAUUGCAACGCUAUGGCGCAGGCACCUAAAGGUCAAAAUGGCCAUGGAAAUGAAAAGGUUCUGAUCAGCUGGGUGGGAAAGAACAGCUCCACAAAUAAGGUCGAAUGACUGAAGGUGUUGCUACUGCACAUUUCUGCCUUUGCAAGAAGGCACCC